AGACUUGUGAGGCAUUCUUACCUCAUUUUUCGUCUUAUACAAUUACUCAACUCCUACACCUUAACCAAAAUUUCCUCUCAAGUCUGUCUUCUUUGGAGCAACUUGGUUCACUCGAUGAAGCAGGGGAAAAGGCAUCAAAAGUCAUUCAUGCCGUUUUUGCCAAAUUUUGCUUUAUACGUCUGCCUCCUCUAUCUGAAUUGCCUCAUUCAUGCUCCUUCAUUGAGUUCCUCUGGAUAUAUUUUCUAUUUUAGUUUUGCAUGUGUUUGAACUAGAAGUUUCACGAUUUUGACGGAAAAUACAAGCUAAUUAGGGUAUUAUUACUUAGUUUUAGAAAUCGAGCUCAGGCGGCGGUGAUGUGAGUGGGGGAUGUUAUCUGCAGCUGAGCAGCAGGAGGCUGGAGAAACCCUUGGUGGGUUUUGAAAAGAAAAGACGGAAACACCCUUUGAAGGAAUCAAAAAGACAGAAUCGGAGUUUGAGGGUGAGGGAGAUGAACGGCAAUCUUGGAAUUCUGGGUCUGUUGAGGGUGAAGAGGAGAAGAAGGAAGAAGUUCAUGUACAGGAAAAUCAGAAGGAAAUUGACAACAAUGGCAGCUUUGAAGGUGAAAACUUGCUGGAAUUUGAUGGUACAGAGAGGUGAGUUUUCGCCUUUUCGGGUUUUUGUUAAAUUUGCUCGAUGUAAUUGUUAGAUUUUUCAGUAUGAUUAGGGUUGAUGCUCUGUUUACUGGUAAGUCGGAAUUCGAACUCUCACCAAAAAGGUGAAAGUUUGGGUAGUCA